UUCACUGUGGGAUGAGGUAGUAGGUUGUAUAGUUUUUAGGGUCACACCCACCACUGGGAGAUAACUAUACAAUCUACUGUCUUUCCUAACGUGAU
ensembl:miRNA